CACUGGUCUAGAGGUGGCGUCGCCCUCCUGAUGAGUCCAAGGCAGGACGAAACCAGUG
rnacentral:hammerhead_ribozyme from 1 species